rnacentral:misc_RNA from 1 species
GAUGAAGAACGCAGCGAAAUGCGAUACUUGGUGUGAAUUGCAGAAUCCCGUGAACCAUCGAGUCUUUGAACGCAAGUUGCGCCCGAAGCCAUUAGGCCGAGGGCACGCCUGCCUGGGCGUCACACGUCGUUGCCCCCCCAUCUACUCCUUCGGGAUUGCGGGGGGCGGAUGAUGGCCUCCCGUGCGCCUCGUCGCGCGGUUGGCAUAAAUACCAAGUCCUCGGCGACGCACGCCACGACAAUCGGUGGUUGCGAAACCUCGGUUGCCCGUCGUGUGCGGUCGUCGCGCAUCGAGGGCUCGAAAAAAUUGCCGGGCUCCGGCUCGGCUUUCAACGCGACCCCAAGUCAGGCGGGGUUACCCGCUGAAUUUAAGCAUAUCAAUAAGCGGAGGA